CACCGCGGUUAUACGAGAGGCCCUAGUUGAUAACUACCGGCGUAAAGAGUGGUUAUGGAAAAAUAUUUAAUAAAGCCGAACACCCCCUCAGCCGUCAUACGCACCUGGGAGCACGAAGACCUACUGCGAAAGCAGCUUUAACUAUGCCUGACCCCACGACAGCUAAGAAA
rnacentral:rRNA from 1 species